UUCGUCCUUAUUUCCUGAUUGAAGAAACUGUGUGUAGAGUGAGGCACUCGUUGCAAUCCUACCUAUAGAAAAACAAAGCAGAUUAUCUGAAAGAACAAAGUCACCAAGGGAAAACACUCUCUAUCUUGGACCUAGAUGGAAUUGGGGCUGCCUGACUAUUGGAGUGGCAAGCAAAGCAUCAGCCAUACUUGAGAGAUUCCCAGAGAAGACCACAGUGCUCCUUGGUUCUCCUGUAUCAGUGUGCCCAGCUGGGAGGGCAGGACUGGACAAGGGGGCUUUUCAGUUACUGAUACCUGAGCUGGCAUAAAACUGUGGAAUCUGCAUUUAUCUGAUUAUCAUUUCAGAUCUGCUGGUAGAUAUGGCAUCCUUUUUGCCUACUAAGGAAACAAAAACCCUGAUAUGAGCCUUUAUUCAGCAGGAAUGGCAGAAGAAAUCUUAAUAAAAAGGCCCUGUUAUGAAAUAUGCUGCAGCUCAAAACUUUCUGGAGAAAAUGCUCUGACCCUAUAGUGCCAUUCAAGAAGAUCAGAUUGGAUCAAAGACUUGCUGGGAUAUGGAGCAUCUGUGGUGGAUGAAAAGCUAAGACUAUCAGUUAUGGUAAGAUAUAACCAUAAAAUAAUGGGAAAUUAUUCUUGGAACACAAUAAAUAAGAUGUGUGGCCACUUUCAAUUUUGAAACAUAAAGAUCUCUUCAAUAUCAGUAUGUUACUGACAAUUUACUAUGUAAUUUACUGUAGAUUACUACUAUCCAUUAUGAUUUUAAUGUAUUUUCAAGUGACAAUACAGCUACCUCUGUUUUCCUGACAAUGCAGCACUAGGUGCAAGUCUGAAAAGAGAGCAGCAGUUAAACAGAUGAUCAAGUAUUGAAUUUAAGCCAUGAUUUACAAUGGUGACUGUUUCCAGAGCCCACUUCCUUUAGAACAAAGUAUAGCAAGAAAGAAAAAGAGAAAAAAGCUUUGGUAGUUCUUUCCUACCUCUGUAAGGUGGAACAAAGGGGCCAGCACACAUCCAAUAGAGAAACCACUGCUGAGUUCUCAGGGCUCCUGAAAAUUUAGUAACAUCUUUUGGUUGUAUGAUCCCAGAGAGGGCCACAGAAUAAACCAAAGCCAGAAGGGACUAGUAGGAGGGCAGACUUCCCUAUCCACUUGUCACAGUUAUACAGUGUCAGUUUUUUC